ensembl:lncRNA novel transcript
GCCCUCGGUGCCUGUGCCCGGGCUGAGGAGACCUUCCUCGACACCCCACGUUAUGUGGGUUUCCGCAAGACCUUCCGCCAUUGCCUGGGCUUUGAAAGCGCUUUAGGAACGAUACGGAAACGGAGGCUUAGAAGUGGAAACUUUACAGAUAUGGAAACUGAGACUUAGAAAAAUGACCCGUCAAAGGCUCAGCUCAUCAUGAAGAAUGUCCAUGUGACUUUGGUUAAUAAAAUGGCCUUGGACAUUUCCUAACAGAAACAGGCCAUCAGUGCUUUUUAUGGACAGCAAGCAAGCAGCUUCCCAAAGCAGAAGAGGUAUAACUUUCAGCAUGGUCUUGAGCCAUUUGCAGCCAAAGAGACAACUUGCAGAGGGUGACUGGUCAUCUGCAAGGCUGACCCAGCUUGACUCUUAUCAACAACAAGCACUCCUCUUUAUGAAAUCUUGAGGGUGUCUGGGACCUAGAUGCUGCCAGAUGUUCAGGCCUUUGUCUUCUGUAUUUUUGCAGUCAUAGCAACUUUCCUCUUCUUACCUCCUAGAAUACCGCUGUGGAUACCAAUUAUUGGGAUGUGAUCAAUAUCUACUGAGUGAUAGUCAGUAGAUAUUGUAAUUUUUUUUGUUAACUUUCCACACAUUUACAUCUUCCUAGUUAGACUGUGGGCAGAACUAUCUAAAACAUCUUCUUACCCUUCGUGGUGACAAAUAAAUGACAUGCAGCUAUGUAUGUAUGCAUACACACAGCGUGUGCGACACUGUUCAAAAGCUCUUGAUCAUAAAGGUAAUAUAUCUUCAUGUUUAACAAAGUUAAAACAGUGCAAAAGGAAAAUGAAAGUUAAAUUUUCUCAAUUAUUUUGAGUCUCCCAACCCAUUCCUUUCAUUCCUUACCCUCUCACUGUCUGUUCCCACUCCACAGAAGGAACAAUAAUUAUUUAUGUGGGUCUUUCAAGAAAUUUUCUAUGCAUAUAAUAACAUAUAUAUUAUAAAAUAUAUUUUAACACAAAUGAGAUUAUGUUAUGUAUACAGUCCUGAAACUUGAUAAUUUUAUUUGUUUUUUUGUUUUUUUGUUUUGAGACAGAGUCUUGCUCUACCACCCAGGCUGGAGUACGGUGGUGUGAUCUCUGCUCACUGAAACCUCUGCCUCCCUGGUUCAAGAGAUUCUCAUGCCUCAGCCUCCCAAGUAGCUGGGAUUACAGGCACGUGCCAUCAUGCCCUACUAAUUUUUUGUAUUUUUAGUAGAAAUGGGGUUUCACCAUGUUGACCAGGAUGGUUUUGAACUCCUGACAUCAGGUGAUCCGCCUGCCUUGGCCUCCCAAAGUGCUAGGAUUACAGGCGUGAGCCACUGCACCCGGCCUUCUUGUUAUAUUCUUAACAUCUUUCUGUAGUUGUAAAUUCCUGUUUUAACAGCUGGGUAGUAGUCCAUUGUAUAAAUCUGUUUUAUUAACCAGUCAUCUACUGAUGGGCAUUUACAUUCUGUCGAGGGUUUUUUUUCUAUUACAAUUAAUGUUACAAUGAAAGUCAUUGUGAAACCAUCUUUAAUCACUUAUGUGAGUAUAUUCAUAAAUAAAUUCAUUGAAGUGGAGCUGCUGCGUUAACAAGUAUAUGCAUUUAACAUUUUGAUAAGUAAAGCCACAUUUACUUCCAUGAAAGUUAGGCCAAACUAUACUAAUAUAAACAG